AAGUGGUUCAAGGGGCGUCGACGGUUUGAAUUUUGUAUUGAAACACUUGCAAAUUUCAAAUGGGACAACACAGGAUUGGCUCCCCAUGUUGCUGUUCAUGAGUCUUCUAAUGUUUGCUGUUUUGAUGUCAGUAUUUACAUCAAUGAAGUACCGCAAUACCUUUCAGGUCUCGUCAAUGAAAAGGUUGAUUCAAGAGAGUCGGAUCAUGUGUGGCUGCACUAUGUUCCCUUCCUUAAAAUGCUGCGAGUCGGUUAUACGCGUCCGUUGCCCCCUUUUAAGUGUCGAGUCAUUAUUGAUCAACGGAAUAACCGUGACGCCCCCUUAAAAAGCUGUGGGGUCCACCUUGUAAUGCCACCCAAUGAAGACGUUUGUAUGAAGCUAAUCCCUGCAGAGAACCUCACUAGGGAACUUUCUGAUGAUGAAGUUUACCUUUCUGAUGAUGAAGUUUACCUCACCAGUGAACUUUCUGAUGAUGAAGUUUGUGAGGUGCUAAUGCAAUUGAGUUCAUCUCAACCAUGCUGAAGUUUCAAUAGCUUUUGUUCAAGAGAACAAAAUCCCUGCUCAAUUGUCAGCUUCACAAAUGUUUCUAGCACUCAAAGGCAGAAGAACUGGGGGUAUCUUGCUUUUCGUGGGAGGAAUUCUUUUAGUUGAUAAAUUCAGAUUGUGAAGUACCUCCAAAACAUAGGACUGCUGUUGCACAAUGAUGUAUACACGUGGAAAACCUAGAGAACGAAAAGGCAUAAUUGUUACUAAUGCAGCAUUAAAGGCAGAGGACUAAUGGAAAGCUAUCAUCCCAAACAGUGGACUGACUGCAAAGUAAUAUAUACUGAUGCACAACUGGAGAAUGAAAAGCUGUAAUUAGUACUAAUGCAGCAAUGUUGGUAAAGCAUUGUCUAUGGAUCAAUGUGACGGAUAAGGUAACAGUUCAGAUUCUCCCUCUUUUUUGAUAUCUUUGGAGUUUCAAAGUUAGUUUGUAAUAAAUAAUAUCAACUCUCUUUGGCAUUCUCCAUUUGUGUGGAUAUAGUUGAACUAGUUUUCCAAGCCUGGUUCCAUGUAAAUAAUAAAUGAAAAAUUGCAUUAUGGAAAGUGAUACUAAAUUUGUUUUUGAAGUUUGAUCUAGUGAACUAGUCAUAUUUCACUAGAUUCUUUCAAGGUAUUUCUAUUUUCUGAGUUUAUAGCAUUGUUGUCUGAAAUUAUUUUCUCAUUCAAAAGUAAAAAGUUCAGAUUAUAAUUGUGUCGAUCGAUCACCAAACAUAUAUUUUCGAUGUCUGAUUUAGAAUGAUAUUUACUUGAUCGAAGGCAUGAUUUAAGAAAAGUGGAAUAAAGUUUUUUCACAUGCAGUUUCCAAUUAGUUUUAUGUAAUUGCAAUUAUUUUCUUCUUUCAUUUGAUCAGUUUCUUGUUGAGUUACCACUACAUUAUAAUUAACCUGAGAAAUGUUUGCCCUUGUUUAUUGUUAUUGUAAAAUUAUACAUAUACUAAAGGCCGUAGAGCUAGCACUGUUUAACUGCAAGGACGGUUUUGCCCCUUUUUUCCGGUAAUUUACGACUUGCCAUUGAAGAUCUGUCUUUUUCUAAAGGGCGGUGGUCAGACCUAAAACAAUUUGGGCUUAUCAGUUGGCCAUUGCAGGGAUUUUUUUUUCUCCCGCGCGAUAGAAGAGUUGUGGUCUGACCAAAAACAAAACGAAGAAAAAGAAAAGAAGUGAUUGUCGUGUUUGAGUUGGUUUGUUUACUCGGUUUGAUUUCAUGUAUAUACUAGGCAAUUAACACCUUAUAUUGAAAUAAUCAUGAUUUGAUGAAAAUUAAUAGAUAGUAAGAUUUGAUUUGAGUAGUAAGUCUCAUGCAGGAAUGAUGUAACUGUCUUCCGCAUGCACAUUAGUAGAUAACGGAUCAAUUUUCUUGAUAUCUUACUCACUGCAUUCUUGCAAUCUGUUCGAGUCUAAUUGGAUUCUGUGGUGCUGCAGUUGAUUGCGAAAGCAGCCGAGAAAGCCAUUCUGCAUGGGGCUAUGGCUGGUUGCUUCUUAUGAAUUAGCAAGCCUAAAGCAUUUUUUAGUGGAUAAAUAAGUGGACGGUGCACUUCAGCAACUCAGCUUCAACAUUUUUCGAUAGCUUCUGCAAUGACCAUAAAAUUCCUACAAGAUCUACAGAGAUUGGAAGCAGUUCUAUAUGUUUCAAGAGUACAUCAACACAAUUAAUGAUCUGUAAUAGUUCUGUAUCAAUGUUCACACCUCACAGGAUUGUAGUUACAGUUGCCACUGAUUUUGGAGUGAAACCUACUUUUGCUCUUUGGGUUUAACAUAAACAUACUACUACGCCUACUACGUAACAUUAAAAGAUCAAUUGUAUUACAACUUUAACUAUCAUGUAACAAUGAUUCCCGCAGCAAAGCGCGGGCUUACUUUCUAGUUCAUGCCUAAAUUUGUUCCUGCAGGUAUUGAGUAGAGUUUCCUCCGGUGGAACCAUACCCUGUUCCAAUAUGCAUAUAACUUAGCCAGCUCAUCAGUUGAAAAUUUGCAUUUGCAUUUUCAUUGGCAGUAGUCUUAUGACUACUGAAAGGUUUAAAUAACAAGAAUUUGGGAUAUCUGAAGUAGUGUCUUCCAAAAGACGAAGGACAAGCUUGACUUUAGAAAGCACAUUGUAUGGGCUAUCUAUCCAGAGGUGAUAUUGGAGAAUGGCAGCCUAAUGGAGCAAUGAAAGUUACAGAUAGGAAAAAGAACAUAUUUAAACUGUCUCGAGGUGAAUAUGUUGCUGUGGAAAGCAUUGAAAGCAAAUACUUGCAAUGCCCCCUUAUCACAUCGGUAUGUCGCCAACU